ensembl:lncRNA
AAAACCUUCACUUGUUCUCACAGAAAAGGAGAAAGACAAGUUCUUUCCAGGGGCUUUUACGGGAAAUAUGAUAUGUUAUUAACUACAGUUUGCAGUAGGUAUUCUUGAGCUAUAUCUGCACCACAACUCGGUCCCACAAAAUACCAAAUACACACCGUGUAGCAAAGCUAGUUUCACAAAAAAACAUUUGCUCCUUGUUAAGGGCCGUCCAUGCUCUCUCACUGCUUUAAAGUAGGGAAAAAAUGGCAUCCCAUACUUUUGUGCACCAAUCAAAGUUUUUGUAUGUACAGAGAUUUGCAACGUAAUGCAAGAUUUAUUUCCUCCCCGAACACAAUCUUUAUUGUCUAUGUAGUCCAAAUAUUUAAUGUUAUACAAAGGCAGUUCAUUGUUGGACACACCCAUUCCCCGGUAAGUCUGCAUCCAUCCAUCUACUUUCUACACCCGCUGAGGGUUAAAGGUGCAUUUACAGACAAUGUGAUUAACUUUGGAUUCUACCAGCAAUCAAGUCUUAACUUUGCUUUAGCUCAAACUUGCCUUCACUCUGUAGUAACUGGAAGCGGUUAUCAUAGCGUUGGUAUUGGCAAGGUUUUUUAUCCAAGGAAACAUGAAAAUACAAUCUAGUGAUCAGACACACGCACCAGCCUUCACUGGGAGAUGCAGUUUCACAAUCAAUAGAAAUGUAAUUUUGUAUCACUGGAGAAUAAUGCAUUGGAUACUUAGUUGACUUGCUUCAUGGCCCUACGGGAACACAUCUGUAACAAUUACGCCGUCGAGGUGGAAGCUAAUCAAGUGUACAAGUGUCCUUGUACGUGUGUGGUGUGGGUUUGUUUCUUAGCAGAGCUCAGAGCAGCUCAGGCGAGAGGAAAUGUGAGCAGGGGAACCCCCCUGCUGGCAGGCCUGCAGCCACACAUGGACAGCCGACCACCGGGGGUGAUCGAUGCGAGGCCUCACGACAGCGACCCACUUCUGCCAGAUGCUCAGCCGCCACCUCAGCCGGCUGCCGCGCCUUGCCAGGUUUCCAAAAGCGUGACCCCUCCCUUAUCGCUGCUCGUAGACCGGGAGCUCCAAGAGGCCUUCCAGCAAUGUGAAGAACAAAUGGCCUCACUGGGCAUGUUUAAUCCCAUAGAGCCCCCAAGCACCACGUCUGAGACGGUUAAAGUAGAGAGGAAAACUGGAGACGGGGUGGUUAAUAAAUCCUAUGAGUCAUCGCCACCUCCUCCUAUCGUUAUCCAGCAGGGACAUAGCAACGGGGUCCAUGGAAACAAGAGCACACACGGAGACAGUGAGGCAGCAAACCCUCGGACGGAUACAGUUGUGUUUAGUUUCAGGAAUUACAUAUUGGGCACAGAGAGUAGUCCUACGGCCGCAAAGAAAGAGAGUGAAAUAGAAGCAAAACACAGCCUGGAUAAAUGUCCAGAGCUUAAGACGGACAAAGAAAUAAAGAUGGUGGAGCAGAAGGAAACACCCACGCAGACACAAUUAGAAACAACUAAAGAUUUAUUUAAAGAAGAAGACAAUUAUAUUGCUCUCUCUGACAGAGAGGAGCGUGUCAACUCUUAUGCAGCCGUUGGGGAACAUUGCACUCUAGAUUGUAAUUCAGUGAUUAAGGAAGAAGGUACGGAGGCAACCACAGAGACUGUAGAUACAAAGAAAGAUAAUUGCGGCAAUGAGUCCCGUAAUUGCGUUUGUGUUUUUGAAAAAGGAGAGACUGAUGAUUCAGUUAAUGAAACAUCAGAGGGCAGUAAAGAUGCAUUCGCAGAGACAACAACGGGAGCAAACAAUUACAGGGAUCAGGAUCAGGAGGCAAACACAGACAAAUGGAUGAAUUCGUGUGACAAACAUGCGGGGCUGGACAAAAAGGCAAAGAAGAAAGAAAAAAAGAAACAAAGGAAAAAGAAAAAAGUGGAAGAGAAGCACAUAGAGACUGAAAACAAAGCAAAAACUCAGCCUGAAAAUGAUUUAAGGGACACAUCUCUCAAGAAUGCUGGAAAUCACAAAGGUUCAACGGCAGAUAUCAAACCCGGGACACGGGCAGAUGGUCAGAAUGUGAUUUGUGGGGAGCAGCCUGAUAAUGGGUGUGACUCCAAGCGACAGCUGAGUCCCGGGGGAAGCCCCAGCCCCCCACUAUCAUCCCCCCACAGCAGGCAGGAUCAUCUUACUGACUCGAUCUGUUCACCUGUGUCCAACCGAGCUUUUUCACAUAACCACAUAACGGACGCCCCAUGUGGCGUUAAUCACAGCUCAAUCCUGCAGCGGAAGCAACAUGUAACCGAAUGUGUCAUUGACAACCACAAUACACCAGGGACGUAUGUCCAAAAUGCAGUUAUCAAUGCAUCUGUUCAUCCUGAAAAGAGAUUGUGUCCACAAACCAGGGAGGCUAAAGUUACCUCCGACGCAGCGAUACUCUCACAUGAGAAUCGCAGCCCACUCUCAAACACCCAAACUUGUGUGGGAGCGAGCGGCGUGGACGCUGCCCUUGAAGAGGCUUCAGUAGUGGUUGCUGCGUUGCCACUGGCAACACCCACGAUGCCAGAAGUGAUAGAAAGCAAGCGAGAGGGAGAAAGCGAGAGGCGUGAUUCAGGCGAGAGAGCGGCUACUGUAGCAAUCGCGGAGAGGGAGAGAGCGGUAGGAGACAAAGAUCUGGGAGGAGUAGAGAAGUGCCCCGGCUCCGCCGACGGAGAGAAAGAAGGACUCCUGGACAGCCUUUCUCCGCUCGCGUUAAUCUGUUCACGGGGCGAAGAGGGCGAGGCUGCAUCUAAGGAGAGCCGCAGCGUCAAAAUGCCACACAGCUCGACAGAGGCUGAAAUGAACGGAGCGAGAGGGACGAGCGCUCGCAGUCCAGACGCGGAGAUGCCAGCAGAUAAGGGAGACGGAGCAAAGGAGGCUCCCCUGUUAGCAGCCUGUAGCGAUACUCCUCCCUACGGGCUACUCACUGGUCCUGAUUGUCUGGAUCACAGUGCUGCGCGAUCGGGGGGGAGCAGGGGAGGGGGGGGGGGGGGGGGGGGGAGGAGGAGAGGAUGUGGGAAAGAAAGCCAGGCUGACCAAAGUGCACAGUUUAUUCAGCCAGCCAGAAGGCUCUGCUAG